GAUAAACGCUGGCGGCGUGCAUGAGACAUGCAAGUCGAACGAACGAGCUUGCUCGUUAGUGGCGGACGGCUGAGUAACGCGUAGGUGACCUGCCCCGAAGUGGGGGAUAACUGCCCGAAAGGGUGGCUAAUACCGCAUGUGGCGACACUUUCAUUGGUGUCAUCAAAGCCGCGAGGCGCUUCGGGAGGGGCCUGCGUCCGAUUAGCUCGUUGGUGGGGUAAUGGCUCACCAAGGCGACGAUCGGUAGGUGGUCUGAGAGGACGAUCACCCAGACUGGGACUGAGACACGGCCCAGACUCCUACGGGAGGCAGCAGUCGGGAAUUUUGCUCAAUGGGCGCAAGCCUGAAGCAGCAACGCCGCGUGCGGGAUGAAGGCCUUCGGGUUGUAAACCGCUUUUGUCAGGGACGAUGAUGACGGUACCUGACGAAUAAGUCACGGCUAACUACGUGCCAGCCGCCGCCGUAA
rnacentral:rRNA from 1 species